GGUGGUGAUAGCAUAACCCUAUCAUGACAUGUGUACCAUUGAUUAUUCGAUUAAGAGGGUUAAGCUUGGGUCAUUGUGCAAAAAUGAAAUAACUUUUAUUAUCUAUCCGUUUAAUUUUUAUAAUUCUUAUGUUUUUGUAUUUAAUUGUCGUUUUUUAUUAUUUAGAUAUGUUUCUUUGAAUAACCUUAGAGAGCAACCCAGACAUUUCAAUUAGCAGCACGUUGCCACACCCCGCCCUAAAUGUCGUGUCCCGCGACUAAAUAGAGGUUGUACUACCUAGGCAUUCACCGCAUAUUUCUCCCGAGUGGAACACUAUAAGAACCGGGGGACUCCCGACGUACAACGACAUUGGAAGAAGCUAAAAAAUAUUGGAAUAUCUUUUCUCGACGUCGUUUACUGUGUUGAAACGCACAUCGAAAGAAAUGCGUUGGGAGAAGAAUUUCCGACACAUGACCAACAAGGCAUCGGAAAUGUAACGCCCCAACAGAUUGGUUUUUUUCAUUUUAUCGUCUUAAGAGUAAUUAUGGAAAUUUCGAAUUUAUUUGAGGAAUUUGAUUAUUUUGACCUUGUAAUUAAUUAAGGUUUAGAGUUAUUUAUUUUGAUUGGAUAUUAAUUUUUUUUAUUUGGAAAUAAAUUGGUGAAGUUAUGUGUUAA